CAGUGUUUUGACUCUUCAUUUUAUUUGAAAUGUUUUUAUAAUUAAUAAUUUUAUUGUUACUAGAUGAUAAAAUAUGAAUAAUAUUUUAUACGUGACUAAUUUUUUAAGUUUUUUUAUAAAUUUUUCAAAUAAGACGGAUGGUCAAAGCGUUGUACGCAGA
rnacentral:pre_miRNA from 1 species